GACGAACCGAGCGAACGUUGUUCGGAAUCACUGGGCUUAAAGGGCGCGUAGGCGGGCUGCCAAGUUUGGGGUGAAAUCCUCCGGCUCAACCGGAGCAGUGCCUCGAAUACUGGCGGUCUCGAGGGAGGUAGGGCGUGCGGAACUGUGGGUGGAGCGGUGAAAUGCGUUGAUAUCCACAGGAACUCCGGUGGCGAAAGCGGCACGCUGGACCUUUUCUGACGCUGAGGCGCGAAAAGCCAGGGGAGCGAACGGGG
rnacentral:rRNA from 1 species